ensembl:lncRNA
CUGAACUCCCACAGAACGGGUCUUCUCUGCAGUUUGAUGUAUGGGCACAUUAACAUUCAUGUGUUCUGAUAUUCUUGAGUUGCUUUAUCUACUCAUUUAAGGAUUGCAUGGGAAAAAAAACUGGGCUGCUAUACCUGGAGACAUGAGCAAGAACUGGAAUUCAGAACUGAUCAGUGUGGACUGGGUGUCAUAGAUACAGAACAACUAGAAUUCUCUAAAAUCCUUCCUCCGAAGACAGGGAGUCUAGUAUUUCAGAUUUUGAUGUUUGCUAAGAUAAAGGAUGACAACGCUAAAAGCAGGAAUCUUUGCGGAACAUCCAUUGAUGUUGCCGUGGGCUCAAGGGCCAGGUUCAAAUCCUAACUUGCAGUUUCUGGUACCUGCAAAUGUGUUUUUCUUUUGGAGGAGAUGUGUGCGUUUGGGGCCCCAGAAUUGGACAUGAUACUGCAGGUGGAGUCUCACAAGAGCAGAGCAGAAGGGCAGAAUCAGCUCCAUGGACCUGCUGGUCUCACUUCUCUUGAUGCAAGAUACUUCUUUUGAUACAAGAGAUAGUUGUUGCUAUCAGGGACAUCAGUAUGACUUUACUGAUGAUGACCUGGAAUAUAUGAUUAAUCAUGUUGACGUCUGCAGCAGGAUCUCCCCUGGCCUAUCAACUGCCCCAAGAUGGAGCUGCAUGCAUUCCAUCUGCUCCUCUGCAUGGAGCAUGACUUCUCACCUUUGCAGCCACCCUUUCCUGAAGAGCCUCUUUUUUCUUUUUCCCAAGUUCAAUUUGUGCAGUUGGAGAAAGAUGUUGUGUACACAAACUGAAAUCCAGUUGGAUAACCUGAACUGCAUCAUGGUGGCCAAGAUCCAUAAAAUAUGGACUGUAUUUCCAUUAUUGUAUUGAGCUCUUUAAUUUUGAAUCUGGACUUUUUUCCUUUGCUAGGAAAACUUGAAAUUAACAGAUGACACAAAUAAUUUUAUUCCAGAAAAUCCAGCACUCUCAAGCAUGAAAGGCUGGAGUGAAGCAUCCACUACAAAUAGCCUGUUUUCCUGGUUACCUUAGAUUUUUGUGAUUUAUUUAUUUAUUUGUUUGUUUGUUUAUUUAUUUAUUGUAUCUCAGAUUAUCUGAGAAGAAUCUAGGAUUUCUAGAAAGAUGCAGAUUUUCUGCUUUUAGUUUACUCUGGUGUUUUUUUUUUACCUUUAUUUUCCAAUAGCUGAUUAUUUAAUCUCUCUGAAGUUUUGUUUUGGAAAAGAAAAAUGUAUGCUGAGUUGUACGGUGACAACCUGGUGAAGAUAACACAUUAUUCUUACAUAAAUUAACCUUUAAGUAUUUCUUAAUAUGCUUAGUCUCAUGUUGGGGGGAAAAAAAAAAAGUUAUUUUACUAAACCUGUUGAUGUUUGUUCUCUUAAAUCGAGCUUAAUUACCACAUAAAUUUUUUAGCUAAUGAAGAAACUAUUGCCACUUAUCUGUGUACAUUACUCUCUCUUGCCAAUUAACG